rnacentral:lncRNA from 1 species
GUAGUUCAGUCUUGUUGGCUAGCAGAAGAAAACUAUCUGUACAAGGGUACAUGAAGCUAUAUCAACAAAUUGCAUUAUUGCCGACAAGGGUGACUGCCUGAGGCAGAUAUAGUGGUCUUUGAUCUAGUUUAUGAUUUAUAAUUUAGUUGUAGAUGGUCAGUAUUUUUCUGAAGGCAUGUGUGGGCUAGAGACAAGAGAUUCCUUUUUGCUUAUGCAUCUAUGGCAUAUUGGAGGUUGAGUUGAUGAAGAUCAGAAGGAUAAAAGAAAAUGGAUUUCAGAAUUAAGGCUGGUAUUCCGUGAUUGUUUAGAGUUUCUAUAGUUGCUGCUGGGCAUGCUGAUUUGUGGGAAUCUAUACCCUUUACUUUGAUGGAUGAAGGCAGGCUUCAUGAGGUUUCAUUCUCUAAGUUGAUAGGUUUUAAUAUUUGUAGGUUUCAUGGAUCUUAGAGUGGAGAACUUGUGCACAAUUUUAUAUGAUAGUCCAUUUUGCAUUUGUCUACCUGCCUGGGUAGUAAUUAGUUGUACUACAUUUACUUGUUUCAUGUGUUCCAUAUCUCUUAAUAUGCAAAAGAUACAUGUUGUAUAGCUUUCGGAAACAUUUAUACCUCAGUUUGGAGAUUUCACCCAAAGAAAGUUCUUCGUUUAACUAGCUAUACAUGCAGCAGCAAUACUUGCCCAGGUUUCACUUGUUUCUGCAUGCAGGCUGCAGCUUUACAUGAGUUCAGUUUAAGACAAACUUCUUAAAAUGAUAAUGUGAUUGAAGUUGUUCAUAAUUGGCCAAUAAAUUAAUUGGUCGAUAUAUCUAAUAUGUCAGUUCUACUGUAUUGAAAGGUGGAGGCGGUUUCUGAUAAAUUGUAGCUGAUGGCUCAACUGAAGAUUUUUUUUUGAUGUAUUUUUUCACCAAUGCAUCUCUGUGACACUGACAAUGACUUGAUGGCUAU